UCUUAGACUUUCUAACUUGUACAGAUCCUUGGGUGCCUCUAGAGUACUGUCUUCCAGGUCAUGGGCGUAGCAUAGUGGGGGCCGAGGGGGAGAGGGGGCGCCCGACCCCCCUAACUUUUCGCUCAGUAGUGUCCGGUAUAAUUUUAGGUUCGGUGACUUUCGACCCCCUUGUCGGAAAUCUCAAACUUCGCCACUGUACGAGAGUUAAAGCCAACUUACCACGGAUGCAAGUUGCUGUUGUGAGCAAGACUGCGUAACUUCCUAAUGAUCAAGACUGCGUACUAAUGCUACUUGCUACCACCAAAGUAGUUGUCAUUGUGUCGCAUUCAAGUCGUUGUCAAGGUAUACUCUAAUAACGUCAUCAAAGGUACAAAAGGAAGGCUUUUAAUGGAUAUCAUAUGCGAUUGAUGAGCGAUUAACCAUGGAAAAUACUGAGAGCGAUUAAAGAGAGUCUUCUAAGUAUUUGCAAUAUUUUGUAAUUGUUUUCUGUAUUGUG